rnacentral:rRNA from 1 species
GUUUACGACCAUGCCAUCCUGAACACACCCAAUCUCAGAAGCUAAGCAGGGCCGGGCCUGGUUAGUACUUGGAUGGGAGAAAUCUCGCUGCCUUUCUAACA